AGCAGGAGUGCAGCUUCGUUACUUUAUGGAAAACUAAUCCUACAAUAAAUAGUUUUGCAGAAAUUAGAGAAAAGUUGCCUAGAAGAUGUUGUAAAAGGAAAAUAAAAAAAAUGCCGUUAAAUCUCACGAAGUUGUAAAUUUCCUUGCAUUUUAAAAACUCUAUCAGAUCUUGUCGAAUCGUGAAUUGUCUUUCAUUCGAAAGAAACGCACACGCCAUAAAUACGUGAAGAUCCGCGGUCCAAUUAAUAAUUAGACUAAUCAUUAAUGAAGCGAUUACCUAGACGAUACGGAGCGGCAGCUGCUACUACGGAUCCCUGUGCAACGCGUUCGCCGUUCGUUGAACCAAAAUUGAUUCGAAUAACUUUCAUGAACCAGAAUUGAUUCGAAUAACUUUCAUGAACCAGAAUUGAUUCGAGUAACUUUCUUGAACCAAAAUUGAUUCGAAUAACUUUCUCGAAUCAAAUUUGAUUCUCUAGAUGCACCGCCUCACCUACAAUGCAUAAUACAUUCGCGCACUCGUUGCACACCGCGGCUGCGAUUUACUCCGAUUUACUCGAUAUCACGGCCGGCGGCCAGCGCGAAUUUCAUCGGCGAGGAGAGGUCAACCUGCGAGAGAAGAAUAAGAAGAAUCCUAGAGAGACAGAGGGAGAGAUAGAGAGGACGUUACCAAACACGCGAAGGAGGGAGCGCCAGCUGGAAACGAUCGGCAGGGGCUCCUGUUGCAACUCCCCGACCACCACCAUCACCACUUCAACCCUCGCUGAAAUAAAGAGAGAAAACGCGUUCGCGAGCGUGCAACCCCGGCGGCGGGCUUUCCGGGGCUGUUGUUGAUCGGCGAGCGGUCCGCGGGCGGCGUCGGAGAGAAGAAAGGAAAUCGAUAUUGGGACCCCCCAAGGGCACGCGUUAUGUACGCCACUGUCGGGUAAAUUGCGGCCGCCCUGGGAAAAAAGCCAGCCAGCGGAAAUUUCGUCGUAUCGUUUCCCUGAUCCCCGCACCGUCGAGAAAUAUUAGGAACUAUCCCCCCCGCCCCCUCCUCACCCUGAAACCACUCUUACUGUCUCUACCGUUGCGUCUGACCGCGGAACAACAGUUUCCCGGUGGGAAUUGAUUUCCCCGAGUGCGAGAGAGGAGAUCGUCCUUCGGACGCGCGGUCUAAAUUUUUCAAAAGCAGUCAGUCCCUUGAUUUCCUCCGACGCGACGCACGGUCGUGCGAAACGCCCAUUUUUCUUGGACGCAGGUAACGUCUACUAGAGACAAUUCUCAAGGAAACGCAAAGGGAUGAACUUUACGCUCGCGUUCGGUUUAACAGAAAAUGCCCAUUUUUUCGUUCGCGAUUCGUCAGAUUGUAAAGAUGCAUUUACGUAUUAUAUCGUAAUUAUAUUAACACAUUUUUACUUUACUAUAUCUGUAAAUAAUGUUUUUACUGUGUGUAUAAGUCAAAAUUUAUUAUUAUUAUUAUUAUUACUAUAUAUAAUAAUAAAUUAAUAAAUAAUUAAUUAAUAGUAAAUUAUAUAUAUAUGUUAAUGUAUGAUAAAUAUAAUUGUGUAAAGCAACUUAUAAAAAUGUAUGUGUACUAUAUCGCUUUAAAUAAGUACCCCUAAUUUUAAUUAAUUAUUUAAACAUUCGAUAUCUAAUUUCUAUUAUUUGCUAAUAUAUUUAUUUAUUUUAAUAGCAAGUAUGUAUUAGUAUAUCAUAAAUUUAAUUAUCAAUAAUAUUUUGUUGAAAUAUUAUAACAUUCGAAUAUUAUAAAAUCAGAAUAAAAGUCUUAUUGUUACUUUUAAAAUAUUUUGUUGUACUUAAAUGCUAUUAUUUAAGUGUGGCAACAGCCAAGUAUAUGCUUUUAAACUUGUACAUUUAAAAUAAAAAUUUAUUCGACGCAGAGGGUAAUGUACACUCGCGUCGAAAAGUAUAUCAUCAACCCCUAACCUGAAUGCAAAAAAUUCAUUUCAUUGUGUUUCCUUAUGCUAGGAUCACUUGAUAAAAAAUUUAACACGUUCGCUGUCAGUGUCACUAAUAUCGUCGUAAUUAUAAUAUAAUUAUAUUGAGGAAAUUAGUUCGACGUUGUCUACGUGAAAUAGAAAACCAUAGUCGUCGCACACGCGUGACGCCGGCAGCGAACGCCUUCAGAAAACAGAAAAUUUCGACGAUAAAUUUUCACCGACUACUGUCCACGAAAAUAGGCUCCACUGUGCGGCGCGCGACGCCCGUAAUUCGAUAGCAUAAGUUCGCCCACGGCAUUUAUAUCCUUUCCCCCUUUUAUAUCCCGCUCCAUCCGGUAAUAUCGCGGCGACACGACGCGAUACCCCGGCAAGACAGCUGGGCGUGUUUUCAUCCCGAAGACGCAGGGGCAGGACGGCAAGAGAGAGAGAUUCGGCUGCACGCAUCCUCCCUUAGACACGGUUGCGAAUAAUUUUGUUGAAGCAAAGAUGAAAUGUGUAAAAGAAUCUAGCAAUUUCGAAAGAAGCGGCGCACCGAGACUCCGAACGUGUUUAACAGCUUCGAUGUUCGACGUUAAUGAAUGUACGAAAAUGUAAAAGUUUUAGGAAACGAAUAUAAUACGAACGAAUCUUUCGAAAGCUUAUAUUAUAUUAGAGCAAUAAUUUCAAUGCUAAUACUAUAAUACCAAUAAUAUAGUAAGUAACAAUAAUAUAGGGAGAAGUAAUUUGUCAUAGAAUUUGAAUUGUAAGGAAUAAUCUUGAGAUUAAUAAAAAAUAACUGUUCAUUUUA